CCAAUAGCGUAUAUUAAAGUUGUUGCAGUUAAAAAGCUCGUAGUUGAAUUUUGGAUUCUGCCAAUUGGUCCAUCUUUUGAUGAGUACUGAUUGUGUGGGGUCUAUCCGCCUGGUGAUACGUAAUGUGCUUUAUUGCAUGUUACGGGUAGCCAGGACCUUUACCUUGAAAAAAUUAGAGUGUUUAAAGCAGGCUUAUGCCGGAAUACAUUAGCAUGGAAUAAUAGAAUAGGACGAUGUUGUUUUAUUUUGUUGGUUUCUAGGACAACCGUAAUGAUUAAUAGGGAUAGUUGGGGGCAUUAGUAUUCAAUUGUCAGAGGUGAAAUUCUUGGAUUUAUUGAAGACUAACUACUGCGAAAGCAUUUGCCAAGGAUGUUUUCAUUAAUCAAGAACGAAAGUUAGGGGAUCGAAGACGAUCAGAUACCGUCGUAGUCUUAACCAUAAACUAUGCCGACUAGGGAUCGGGCGAUGUUGUUUCCAUGACUCGCUCGGCACCUUAUG
rnacentral:rRNA from 1 species